GCUGGGCGUGGUGGCGUGUGCCUGUAGUCUCAGCUACUCGGAGGCUGAGGCAGAAGAAUUGCUUGAACCCGGGAGGCAGAGGCUGCAGUGAGCCGAGAUCGUGCCACUGCACUCCAGCCUGGGUGACAGAGCGAGACUCCGUCUCAA
rnacentral:SRP_RNA from 1 species